CUACGGGCCGCUCCAGUGAGGAAUAUUGCACAAUGGGGGAAACCCUGAUGCAGCAACGCCGCGUGGAGGAUGACGCAUUUCGGUGUGUAAACUCCUUUUAUAUGUCAAGAAAAUGACGGUAGCAUAUGAAUAAGCACCGGCUAACUCCGUGCCAGCAGCCGCGGUAAUACGGAGGGUGCAAGCGUUACUCGGAAUCACUGGGCGUAAAGGACGCGUAGGCUGGUUGGCAAGUCAGGUGUGAAAUCCUACAGCUUAACUGUAGAACUGCACUUGAAACUACCAACCUAGAGUAUGGGAGGGGGAGAUGGAAUUAGUGGUGUAGGGGUAAAAUCCGUAGAUAUCACUAGGAAUACCGAAAGCGAAGGCGAUCUCCUGGAACAUAACUGACGCUAAGGCGUGAAAGCGUGGGGAGCAAACAGGAUUAGAUACCCCAGUAGUC
rnacentral:rRNA from 1 species